rnacentral:rRNA from 1 species
UACGUAGGGUGCGAGCGUUAAUCGGAAUUACUGGGCGUAAAGCGUGCGUAGGCGGUUCGCUGUGUCCGAUGUGAAAGCCCCGGGCUUAACCUGGGAAUGGCAUUGGAAACUGGCGGGCUUGAGUGCGGCAGAGGGGGGUGGAAUUCCGCGUGUAGCAGUGAAAUGCGUAGAGAUGCGGAGGAACACCCGUAGCGAAGGCGGCGCUCUGGGCCGGUACUGACGCUGAGGAGCGAAAGCGUGGGGAGCAAACAGG